UGAGUAACACGUAUCCAACCUGCCGUCUACUCUUGGACAGCCUUCUGAAAGGAAGAUUAAUACAAGAUGGCAUCAUGAGUUCACAUGUCCGCAUGAUUAAAGGUAUUUUCCGGUAGACGAUGGGGAUGCGUCCCAUUAGAUAGUAGGCGGGGUAACGGCCCACCUAGUCAACGAUGGAUAGGGGUUCUGAGAGGAAGGUCCCCCACAUUGGAACUGAGACACGGUCCAA
rnacentral:rRNA from 1 species